rnacentral:misc_RNA from 1 species
GAGAGAGAGAGAGAGAGAUGUAACAGCCACAUAUAAAUAAGCAACAGCAUUAAAAAAUCACAUGCUUAUAAACAAUUAUUUGUACCAAGCAACAACAUAUCCUUUUAACCAUUCUAUAUAAUGCAGUGGAAAGAAUAAACUAAAACACAAUCCAAACGUUAUUUCCCAAUGUUUGGAUUGUGUUUUAGUUUAUUCUUUCCACUGCAUUAUAUAGAAUGGUUAAAAGGAUAUGUUGUUGCUUGGUACAAAUAAUUGUUUAUAAGCAUGUGAUUUUUUAAUGCUGUUGCUUAUUUAUAUGUGGCUGUUACAUCUCUCUCUCUCUCUCUC